UGGAAUCCUCUCCAUUUGGCUGGUGGAGAAGAGGAGACAAGAAAGGGCCUGAAAAUUGGACCAGGCUCAGGCUCUUACUACUUCUGUUGGCAUGGAGGGACCAUGGAAGAAAGUGUCAUCCACCUAUAUUUUUUUCUCCUUCUUGUCUUCUGUGUUACAUCACUGUGCCUCUGCACUGGCAAUCACCAGGAGCCAGUGAAGGCCUCUAGAGUUUAAAAUGUAUGCUCAUCUGUGCCAUUCUAAGUAAAAAAUUGCAACCAUUCA